UGUUCUGUGGCUUAGUUGGUUGAAGCGUCAGUCUAGUCGUGGGUUCAAAUCUCACCAGAACAC
rnacentral:tRNA from 1 species